rnacentral:rRNA from 1 species
GACGAACGCUGGCGGCGUGCUUAACACAUGCAAGUCGAACGGAAAGGCCCUGCUUUUGUGGGGUGCUCGAGUGGCGAACGGGUGAGUAACACGUGAGUAACCUGCCCUUGACUUUGGGAUAACUUCAGGAAACUGGGGCUAAUACCGGAUAGGAGCUCCUGCUGCAUGGUGGGGGUUGGAAAGUUUCGGCGGUUGGGGAUGGACUCGCGGCUUAUCAGCUUGUUGGUGGGGUAGUGGCUUACCAAGGCUUUGGCGGGUAGCCGGCCUGAGAGGGUGACCGGCCCGUCUGGGGCGGGGCUGCCGGCGGGGCUGAUGAGGAGGGGGGCGGGGGGGAGGAGUGAAGCGGGGGCGGCGGCCGGGAGCAGCAGCGGGGCGUGGGGGCGGCGGGCCUGCGGGGUUUCACCCGCUUUGGCGGGAGAGGAGGCGAGAGUGAGGGAAAGGGAAAAACAGGCACCGGCAAACUCCGCGCCAGCGGCCGCGCAAAUAAGCGGACCACCACACGUUCCAAC